UAGGGAAUCUUCGGCAAUGGACGAAAGUCUGACCGAGCAACGCCGCGUGUGUGAAGAAGGUUUUCGGAUCGUAAAACUCUGUUGUUAGAGAAGAACAAGGACGUUAGUAACUGAACGUCCCCUGACGGUAUCUAACCAGAAAGCCACGGCUAACUACGUGCCAGCAGCCGCGGUAAUACGUAGGUGGCAAGCGUUGUUCGGAUUUAUUGGGCGUAAAGCGAGCGCAGGCGGUUUCUUAAGUCUGAUGUGAAAGCCCCCGGCUCAACCGGGGAGGGUCAUUGGAAACUGGGAGACUUGAGUGCAGAAGAGGAGAGUGGAAUUCCAUGUGUAGCGGUGAAAUGCGUAGAUAUAUGGAGGAACACCAGUGGCGAAGGCGGCUCUCUGGUCUGUAUCUGACGCUGAGGCUCGAAAGCGUGGGGAGCAAACAGG
rnacentral:rRNA from 1 species